rnacentral:rRNA from 1 species
UGAAUACGAGACGCUACGGCGUCGAAGCAGUCUAUGUCAUACUUCCAAGAAAAGCUCGCAAUGUCAUAAACAAAUAAUGCCUGUACCAUAACCGACAUAGGUGGGUAGGUAGAGUAUACUAAGGGGCGCGAGAUAACUCUCUCUAAGGAACUCGGCAAAAUGACUCCGUAACUUCGGGAGAAGGAGUGCCUUAUUUAUAAGGUUGCAAUAACAAGAUCCAAGCAACUGUUUAUCAAAAACACAGGUCUCCGCUAAGUCGUAAGACGAUGUAUGGGGGCUGACGCCUGCCCAGUGCCAGAAGGUUAAAGAAGUUGGUUAGCAUUCGCGAAGCUGAUAACUGAAGCCCUGGUGAACGGCGGCCGUAACAAUAACGGUCCUAAGGUAGCGAAAUUCCUUGUCGGGUAAGUUCCGACCCGCACGAAAGGCGUAAUGAUUUGGAUACUGUCUCGGAGAGGGGCUCGGUGAAAUAGACUUGUCUGUGAAGAUGCGGACUACCUGCACCUGGACAGAAAGACCCUAUGAAGCUUUACUGUAACUUGAAAUUGAAAUUGGACUUUAUUUGCGCAGCAUAGGUGGGAGGCGUUGAGAGUAUUCUUGCGGGAAUAUUGGAGCCAUCAGUGAGAUACCACUCUUGUAAUGUUAGAUUUCUAACUUUGGAUCAUUAUCUGGUCAAAGAACAGUUUCAGGCGGGCAGUUUGACUGGGGCGGUCGCCUCCCAAAUGGUAACGGAGGCGUACAAAGGUUUCCUCUGAACGGGUAGAAAUCGUAUCUAGAGUGUAAAGGCAUAAGGAAGCUUGACUGUGAGACCUACAAAUCGAGCAGGGACGAAAGUCGGUCUUAGUGAUCUGACGGUGCUGAGUGGAAAGGCCGUCACUCAACGGAUAAAAGUUACUCUAGGAUAACAGGCUGAUCUCCCCCAAGAGUUCACAUCGACGGGGAGGUUUGGCACCUCGAUGUCGGCUCAUCGCAUCCUGGGGCGGUAGUACGUCCCAAGGGUUGGGCUGUUCGCCCAUGAAAGCGGUACGCGAGCUGGGUUCAGAACGUCGUGAGACAGUUCGGUCCAUAUCCGGUGUAGGCGUUAGAAUAUUGAGAGGAGCCUUCUUUAGUACGAGAGGACCGAGAAGGACAUACCUCUGGUGUACCAGUUAUCGUGCCAACGGUAAACGCUGGGUAGCUAUGUAUGGAGAGGAUAACCGCUGAAAGCAUCUAAGUGGGAAGCCCACCUCAAGAUAAG